rnacentral:rRNA from 1 species
UACGGAGGAUCCGAGCGUUAUCCGGAUUUAUUGGGUUUAAAGGGUGCGUAGGUGGCCUGUUAAGUCAGGGGUGAAAGACGGUAGCUCAACUAUCGCAGUGCCCUUGAUACUGAUGGGCUUGAAUGAACUAGAGGUAGGCGGAAUGUGACAAGUAGCGGUGAAAUGCAUAGAUAUGUCACAGAACACCAAUUGCGAAGGCAGCUUACUAAGCUAUGAUUGACGCUGAGGCACGAAAGCGUGGGGAUCAAACAGG